CGAAACACAUUUCAUUCAACAUUUUGGGAUUUGGAUUUGGGUCACAUGAAAUGCACACACGGGUUUAGGAAGUUAAAAUUAUUAAAGAACGCGCCUAAAGCGACUAACGUGUUGUUAACUUUGCAAGAGGAAAUUUUCUAAUGGCACGUCUCGAGUUCUAAUUAUUUUAAAGAAAUAAUCAAAGAGGGCCACGCGGUUUGUGAAUUUUGUUCGGCACGACGCACCUCAAUUUAUUUUUUUUAUCCUAAAGAGAAACUAUUAUUAUCUAUUGGUAUUGUCUCUAAAAAAAUUUAAUUGAUUGGCAUUAUUAAUUAACUACUAUAUUUUGGGAUUUUGAUUUGGGUCACAUGAAAUGCGCACCCGAGUUUAAGAAAGUAGCUUUAUUAAAUGUGCGCCUAAAGCAACUAGCGCGUUGAUAUCUUUGUGGGAAGCUAUGAAAAAGUGCUAAAUGGCACGUCCUGAUUUUUAUGUUUUUUAAUGAAAGCAACUAAAGAGGGCCACAUGCAAUUUAUGUUUUUUAUUUGGCGUGGCACACCUCAAUUUCAUUUUUAAGGAUAUUCGACAAAAAUUCAGGAAGUCUAAGAACCUUUAUUAUCUAUAUUGACUCAAUUCUUAUUUUGUAUAAGAGGUUUAUAUAGGUGACCUUAAAAUGGUUAGAGGCUAAUUAGUUAAAAAAAAAAAAGAGCUCAUCAAGAGGAGGUAUCUAUCUUAAGCGAAUUGAGCUAGAUUCUAGGAAAAUAGGAUAUGGUCCAUUAAUUAAGAGGAAAUGUCCUUCAUGGUCCUUCAGCAUCAUGUUCUAAUUGAUGAGCCUAAUUUGUUGGCAUGGGACAUAUACAAGCAUACUAUUCAAAGGCCCAUGUGCCAAAUAUUAGUAGCAAUCAAAGUCAGACUCAUGCUAAGAGAGGCGUAUCUAGUAAGAGUAUCUACAUAAUGGAUCAAAACAAAGUUACAUUCGAAACAUGCCAAAUAAACCUCAUAUAGCAGACCACAGUAUUCCCAUUUUUUAAACUAAAACAUAAAACAUAGAUUAUGCAAUAACAACUACUGAAACCAAGGAAAUUUUAAAUAGCUAUCCCUUCAAUGAUCAAGCUAAGAUUGUCACUUGUUAUUUCAAGCUUAAGCAUGAUUGUAUCAGCAUAAGUUCUGAUUUCAAACUACAAAACCACGGACCUACUUAUGUAUCCUUCAUGCAUAUUUAGCAAUCAUUGUUCACAUGAGUAUUUAUUUUCUAUUACAGAACCAAGAGUCCAGCAUUUUUUAGAUAGCUAAAUACAAGUUCAAAUCAUACAGCAUGGCUAGACAUAUUCAACAGGAGCACAAGGAACUAUCCCAUAACAUGAAAAUAAGAGUGUAAACAAUUAGAGUCAAUAGCCUUCUAAUGAUCAAACAUGGGUUUUGUUCAAAUUUCAACAUGAAUAUAAAAUUCCAGAUACAAUUCCAGUCUGGUUCCAGCUUGCAGCACUUAUCUAUUAGCAAAUCGUAUGGAGAAAUACCUGAAAUGUGAGGAAAGUACAGCAAAGGAGUCAAAGACCAGCAGCAGCAAAUUAGAAAUAACAGCCAGAAAAUAGAGCCGGAA
rnacentral:lncRNA from 1 species